rnacentral:rRNA from 1 species
UACGAAGGGGACUAGCGUUGCUCGGAAUCACUGGGCGUAAAGCGCACGUAGGCGGCUUUUUAAGUCAGGGGUGAAGUCCUGGAGCUCAACUCCAGAACUGCCUUUGAUACUGAGAAGCUUGAGUCCGGGAGAGGUGAGUGGAACUGCGAGUGUAGAGGUGAAAUUCGUAGAUAUUCGCAAGAACACCAGUGGCGAAGGCGGCUCACUGGCCCGGUACUGACGCUGAGGAGCGAAAGCGUGGGGAGCAAACAGG